rnacentral:tRNA from 11 species
GGGGCUGUAGCUCAGUUGGGAGAGCGCUUGAAUGGCAUUCAAGAGGUCGUCGGUUCGAUCCCGUCCAGCUCCACCA